ACGAACGCUGGCGGCGUGCCUAAUACAUGCAAGUAGAACGCUGAAGAGAGGAGCUUGCUCUUCUUGGAUGAGUUGCGAACGGGUGAGUAACGCGUAGGUAACCUGCCUUGUAGCGGGGGAUAACUAUUGGAAACGAUAGCUAAUACCGCAUAACAAUGGAUGACACAUGUCAUUUAUUUGAAAGGGGCAAUUGCUCCACUACAAGAUGGACCUGCGUUGUAUUAGCUAGUAGGUGAGGUAAUGGCUCACCUAGGCGACGAUACAUAGCCGACCUGAGAGGGUGAUCGGCCACACUGGGACUGAGACACGGCCCAGACUCCUACGGGAGGCAGCAGUAGGGAAUCUUCGGCAAUGGGGGCAACCCUGACCGAGCAACGCCGCGUGAGUGAAGAAGGUUUUCGGAUCGUAAAGCUCUGUUGUAAGUCAAGAACGGGUGUGAGAGUGGAAAGUUCACACUAUGACGGUAGCUUACCAGAAAGGGACGGCUAACUACGUGCCAGCAGCCGCGGUAAUACGUAGGUCCCGAGCGUUGUCCGGAUUUAUUGGGCGUAAAGCGAGCGCAGGCGGUUUGAUAAGUCUGAAGUUAAAGGCUGUGGCUCAACCAUAGUUCGCUUUGGAAACUGUCAAACUUGAGUGCAGAAGGGGAGAGUGGAAUUCCAUGUGUAGCGGUGAAAUGCGUAGAUAUAUGGAGGAACACCGGUGGCGAAAGCGGCUCUCUGGUCUGUAACUGACGCUGAGGCUCGAAAGCGUGGGGAGCGAACAGGAUUAGAUACCCUGGUAGUCCACGCCGUAAACGAUGAGUGCUAGGUGUUGGAUCCUUUCCGGGAUUCAGUGCCGCAGCUAACGCAUUAAGCACUCCGCCUGGGGAGUACGACCGCAAGGUUGAAACUCAAAGGAAUUGACGGGGGCCCGCACAAGCAGUGGAGUAUGUGGUUUAAUUCGACGCAACGCGAAGAACCUUACCAGGUCUUGACAUCCCGAUGCUAUUUCUAGAGAUAGAAAGUUACUUCGGUACAUCGGUGACAGGUGGUGCAUGGUUGUCGUCAGCUCGUGUCGUGAGAUGUUGGGUUAAGUCCCGCAACGAGCGCAACCCUUAUUGUUAGUUGCCAUCAUUCAGUUGGGCACUCUAGCGAGACUGCCGGUAAUAAACCGGAGGAAGGUGGGGAUGACGUCAAAUCAUCAUGCCCCUUAUGACCUGGGCUACACACGUGCUACAAUGGUUGGUACAACGAGUUGCGAGUCGGUGACGGCGAGCUAAUCUCUUAAAGCCAAUCUCAGUUCGGAUUGUAGGCUGCAACUCGCCUACAUGAAGUCGGAAUCGCUAGUAAUCGCGGAUCAGCACGCCGCGGUGAAUACGUUCCCGGGCCUUGUACACACCGCCCGUCACACCACGAGAGUUUGUAACACCCGAAGUCGGUGAGGUAACCUUUUGGAGCCAGCCGCCUAAGGUGGGACAGAUGAUUGGGGUG
rnacentral:rRNA from 1 species